rnacentral:rRNA from 1 species
AGUGAACGCUGGCGGUAGGCCUAACACAUGCAAGUCGAACGGCAGCACAGUAAGAGCUUGCUCUUACGGGUGGCGAGUGGCGGACGGGUGAGGAAUACAUCGGAAUCUACUUUUUCGUGGGGGAUAACGUAGGGAAACUUACGCUAAUACCGCAUACGACCUACGGGUGAAAGCAGGGGAUCUUCGGACCUUGCGCGAUUGAAUGAGCCGAUGUCGGAUUAGCUAGUUGGCGGGGUAAAGGCCCACCAAGGCGACGAUCCGUAGCUGGUCUGAGAGGAUGAUCAGCCACACUGGAGCUGAGACACGGUCCAGACUCCUACGGGAGGCAGCAGUGGGGAAUAUUGGACAAUGGGCGCAAGCCUGAUCCAGCCAUACCGCGUGGGUGAAGAAGGCCUUCGGGUUGUAAAGCCCUUUUGUUGGGAAAGAAAAGCAGCAGGUUAAUACCCCGCUGUUCUGACGGUACCCAAAGAAUAAGCGCCGGCUAACUUCGUG